UACGUAGGGUGCAAGCGUUGUCCGGAAUUAUUGGGCGUAAAGAGCUUGUAGGCGGUUUGUCGCGUCUGCUGUGAAAUUUCGGGGCUCAACCCCGAACUUGCAGUGGGUACGGGGCAGACUAGAGUGUGGUAGGGGAGACUGGAAUUCCUGGUGUAGCGGUGAAAUGCGUAGAUAUUGGGAGGAACACCAGUGGCGAAGGCGGCUCACUGGACCGGUUCUGACGCUGAUGCGCGAAAAGCGUGGGGAGCAAACGGG
rnacentral:rRNA from 1 species